rnacentral:lncRNA from 12 species
GACAAGAUGUAGCUGGUGGCCCGGUCGCUGAGGCGGAUGAGGAAGGAGCCGAGAGCUUUGUCGCCGAGCAGCUGCUCUGUCUGCCUGGGCAGAGGGCAUGCAGUUAACUGGGGCCUGUGCCCGUCUGGCAGCAGGAGCAGGCCGACUUGGACCUGCCUCAGAAUCCCUGCUGGCCAUGCCUUUGGGUGCCAGAUGCAGUGCACAGAUAGCCAGCCCUCUCCACGGUAGGGGUUGGAGACUCUCCCAGGCCUCGGGCUGCCACUGUGGCCUGUCCACACUCAGACUUGGGCUGGGUCAGAGUCCUGAGGCCCACGUGCACCUCCACACUGCAUUCUCACCUCAGGCACAAUAGCCACUGACCCUGGCCCCCCACCAAGAACGAAUCCAUAGAGCCAGAAAGGUUUAGGUUUGGCAGGUCCCGGCCUCAGGGCCACCAUGUACAGUUGUGCAGGUUUCUAUAGGGAGGAGGUGCUGUGUUGUCUGGACCCUGAUCCCAACAGGCUCUCAUGUCCCCUGUGUGUCCCUUCCAGCUGGGCAGCCAGGAAUAUUUUUGAACAGUGCCAAGUAUUUUGGCGACAUGGUGAGAAAUUCCAGCUUCCUUUGGUUUGGCAGCACGUCGGCCCCAACUGAGCACCUGCUCUCUGUAAGGCCAGCUGUGGAUUUUGCACAGCCUGCGACUAAAUGAAAGCACUGAGCUCAACAGGUAAGGAUUUGAUGAUGGGGACAGCAGGGCAAUAAGCUAAGUGCUGGACCCCAAGCUGCCCCUGUAGACAGCUGGUGCCUGGUGCUGGGCAGGGAGGGCCAGGCUGCAUCUGCUGUCUCUGGUCUCAUGCUCAGGCAGCUCUGGCAUCUGCUAAUCCAAGAGCCACCCUUUCCUGGGGGGCAGUGCACAUCCAGGUUUCCCCAAGGCGGUCCCCACCCAAGAUAGCUCUCAGCUCCCUGUGAAUGGUGUGCGACUGGACAAUGACCCGAAGGCCCUGCCAUGUCUGAGUGCACCUGCUCUCUCUCUUCUCUAGGCCGGGACUCCCAGAGUGGCCACUGCACUCGCCCAGCUGCCCAGAGACCGCAGGCUCCUCACCCCAUCCCGGGCCUCACCCAGGGAGACGGCAGGAGCCAUCCUCAUCCCAGGGUCCCCAGACCACUUUCUCCAUGCCAAGGGGUAGCCUUACUUGCGGCCCCACCGUGGUCAUCCCAAGCAAGAUGGAAAUGCCUGCGGCAGCUGUGGGAUGCAUGUGAUGGCGAGGACAGGCAUGUUGUGAGGCAAGCCCGUGACCCCAGUCCCGUCUCUGGGUCUCCUUUUCCACAUUCAUACAAAAGGCAAGGUGGUAUGACUCUGUCUGUCCUCACUGCCAAGACAGGAAACAGACUCGGGACCAGAGACAGCCUGGCCUGCCUCAGCCAAAGAUGGAGUCAGCGGCAGGGCCUCUCCAUAUGUGUGGGGCACCUGCCCACCUGCUGUUACUUCACCCUCACCAUCCCCCAGCCGGGAGCACCUUUCCCUGCAAAUUCUGUACCUACCUUCAAAAUGCAAUGGAUCAAUAUUAGUAGCUAUUUAGCCGUAUAUUUAAACUUCAAAAUACAAAAGAAACUCCAACAGACUCCAAAGGGGCUCUUGCUGGGCCCUCUUAUCCUGCCUGCCUUCGGGGGUCUCCCUCCUAACCAGGGCCUUCCCGUUGUGUUGUGUGGUUUGCGUCUGCCCGCACCUUCCCUCCAUUGAAAUGCCUCCAUCCCCCAAAAGGGCCUCACAGGGGAGUUGCAGUGCCUGGAGGCCUUGGAGGGGGGGGUGGAUUCUGAGGGCAGGGGGCUUGGGGAGGAGCCAAGAUAGGCGGGCUGCUGUCCUGGCUGUGGUGGCAGGCCGAGAACCAGGACUGGGACAGAAAGGACCAGGCCUCUGUACCUGCAGCCCGCCCUGUGUCCAGGCCUCCCCCGCUCCCCAGCCUGUGUGUCCCCCCAACUCCUGUGUAGUCCUCACCUGCUGGCCCCCAGCCCCUGCCAACCCUCUGCCCUCCAUCAGUGCCCUGGGCCCCAGGGCUUAGAGAGUGGCCAGCACUUCAGGUGACCCCACCCCCCCCAGGAAGGGGAGCCAUAGGCUGUGAGAUUUGCCUGCACAUUUGGCAGGGAAAUGAGGCCUUCGGGAAGCCAGAGUCUGCAAAUCCAGGCCAGAGGGGUGCGGUGGGGCUUCUCUCUCUGAAGCCACCAUCCCGCCUGCCCAGGCCCUUCUGAGACUCAGCACAGCACCCAAUGGAGGUAGAGGCAGGGGUGGUGACAGUCCCUCUCACCCCCCUUACUCGGGCUCCCUCCCAUGACCCCAUCAGGGCAGGAUGGUAUGGGAGCACGUGGUAGGGAGGUGGUGGUGGGGCCUCCCUCUGGGGGCUAUUCCCUGGCCAAUGCAGCCUCUGUUCUGAAGCCAGCCCAGCUCCCCGGUUCCCCCUCUAGCACCACACCCUGAACUCCAAACCACCCCCAUCCAGACCAACUUCCUCCACCAAGCUCCGGGGUUAGCAAGGCCCCAUCAGGAUCCCUGUGUGCUUGACCUCCAGAUAAUGGGGCAGUCUCUGCUCAGAGACAGGAGGGCUCCCUCUGUGCCAUCUGGCCACGGGGCUGCAGCUAGGGCCCCUUCUCUGGUGGGGUGGCAGGGAAGACACACCCUGUGCCCCCCAGUGGUAAUGCUUACACUAACUGCGGAGGGCAGGAUGGAAGAGUGCCCAAAGGGAAGGGACUGGUCAGUUGUGAUGGCUGAAAACCUCAAGAGGCUGGAAACAGAAGAGCCUCACUGGCCCAGCUGGAGAAGGCCCACAGGCCUUACAGCUGGGCUGCAGGCAGGCAGGCAGGCCCUUGGAGAUCAACUGCUGCCCAUCCCCUGCAGCCCAGAGAGGGCACAGACACGGCUAUCAGGCAGCAUAUCAGGCAGUGAGGUCUCCUCUCUCUGGACUCCCCCAAGGACUGUGGGCUCCUCCUGCAACAGGAUGGCACCUUGGCCAGCUUGUCCUCCUGGAGUCUGUGAGGUGCAGAGACUGCACGUGGCUGGGCCUCCCACCCCAUCCCUCUUGAGGGAGACUGGCCGAGGAUGAGUCAUUGGCUCUGUGUCCCUGGGGCUUGCCCAGGGCUGGCCAUGUGGGAGCAAGCUCACUGCCCUAAUUUCCCCUUUUGGGUAAACAGCAGCCACUUCCUCCUGGGUCGGCCACUUCCUUCUGGUCACUGGGCUCCACGAGGCUAGAGGGGGCAGGCCCUGUGGCACCAAGCAGACAUAUCCUAGAAAUGGUGGUGGGAGGGUACACAGGCUGCACAACGCUGGCCCCUGACCACAGGACCUGGACAUUCAGUCUAAAGGGACUUUGAAAACUGCAAAUGUCCACCUGCCAUUUGAGAAGGGCUCCAAGGGAGGACCCGGGAGCCAGCAAGUUCCCAUGCAGGAUAGCCCUGGGCAGGGGAUCUGGUUGGAAAGGACGGAACCGAAGCUGCAUUUCUUCAGCAUUUUACAUAAAUUACAAGACUUGUCCAGAAAGAUGGUGGGGGAGGGGCUGCAGAAGCCGAACUAAGGCGCCAGCUCUCAACCCCCGGCACAGGGCCCUCAGGACGGAACGGGGUGUGACACCAUGCAGGGUUGUUCCUGGAAAACCAGCCUCCUGGAGUGGGCAGGGCUGGUGGCCUGGGAGAGAUCUAGGGGAUCAUAGGGGGUUGGGGGAUCUUGGAGGCUGGGGCCAAUUCUAAUCAGCUGAAUGGAGGGGAGGGACUGUGCUGAGAGGUUGUUGCCACUUUGUCCCGCUCACUGGGGUCUCAGGACCUGUGGCUGUGCAGCGUCCUCAGAGGGCCACACUCUGGGCCUGGCCAGUCUGUGAGAUUCUGCAGGCCCAGUGCUUGGCUCUGCAAGCUCUCCAGGGACCUAUGAAAGGUCUGUAGCCAAGGACAAGUAUACCUGGAUUCCAAAACCCGAGAAAAACAGCAAAAGAUGAUUAUGCUCGGGCUCCCAAGAAAAAGAGCAAAAUCUAAAUCAAUAGACAUUUAAUUAGAUGUCUACAAAGUGUAACAUUAUAAUCAUCAAAAUGUCACUCUUUCGAGGGGCACCUGGUGGGCUUGCUUACUCAGUAGAGUGUGUGACUUUUGAUCUUGGAGUUAUGAGUUCAAGCCCCACGUUGGAUGGCAAGAUCACUUAAAAAAUCAAUAGGCUUAAAAAAGUCACUCCCUUUGAAAACAAUGUGUAGGCUGGAUUUCUCUCACUCAGCCAGGAUGCCCACACAGACAUGAUGAUUGCCAAGAAAUUGUUAGCCAAACAUAAAUUAAAACGAAUUCCUCACAGAUAAUAUCGGGACCAUAAUUACAGCAAUUCCUUCAAAUGUUUUGAGAGUCAUGUUUACAUCGGAUGUGGGGCACUUGACUGUGUUGGGUAUCGUGUGGGGCAUGGCCGGGCUCAGAGAACAGGGCAUGGGGCCUGUGAGCGAGCAAGAAUGGCACCACUCCUCUGCCAUGGUUGGCUAGGGACCAACAACAGGCUCCGAGGCAGGAGGGUUAUGCUGGUGGAAGCAGACACUAGCCACGGAGUGACAGUAGUGGUCCCUUGUCCAGACCCACCUGCUCAAGCUGGGGGCUCACACCUGUGCCUUCCUGAACCUCAGUAGACUUCGGUCUCUGCAAGGUGGACCUGGGCUCAGUACACCCCCACUGUUGCACAACUGGCUGAUAGAGCUGAGGAGAGUGGGCUGUCCCCCGCUCCUGCCUAGCCUCCUGCGCACCUCCCACGUGGAGCUGUAGCUACAGAUCCAGUGCUCCCAGCUGUUCCCCUUUCCAUGGGAUUUCCUGGGCACAUCCCACCCUGCUGCCUCACCCUGCAAGCCCAUUAGUCACUGCCCCUCUCAUGCAUAGGGCAAAGCCCAAAUCCAACUUGGUUUCCUUUCUCCCCAGGGUGCAGGGCACUCUCAGGCCUGCCCUGUAUGGAGGCUGAUCCGCUGUUGGAUCCUCCCUCUCAGAAGCUGCCAAUUGAGGAGGACAUUCACGUUAACUGUACAAGAAUAGUAAGAACAGCUGGACUGCACUGAGGACCUGCUAUGUGCUAGGCACGUGCUGAGUAAUCUCACAUGUGUUUCUCCUGUAAGUGUCAUGAGAACAAUGGCAUGGACUGUAUGAUCCCCAUUCUACAGACGAAGAGGCUGAGGCUCAGAGAGGUCAAAUAAACUGCCCAAGGUCACAUGUCCGGUUAGUGGC